UACGGAGGGUGCGAGCGUUAUCCGGAUUUAUUGGGUUUAAAGGGUGCGUAGGCGGACGCGUAAGUCAGCGGUAAAAUUGCGGGGCUCAACCUCGUCGAGCCGUUGAAACUGGGUGUCUUGAGUGGGCGAGAAGUACGCGGAAUGCGUGGUGUAGCGGUGAAAUGCAUAGAUAUCACGCAGAACUCCGAUUGCGAAGGCAGCGUACCGGCGCCCAACUGACGCUGAAGCACGAAGGCGUGGGUAUCGAACAGG
rnacentral:rRNA from 1 species